CCUUGUUCAUUGUCGUCUCUCCUCUCUUAGGUGUUGAAUUUGAGAGGGGAGAAGCUCGAGCUUAGCCUUAUUGACAUUGCAGAAAAGGAGUGCAGGCUCUUGUUUUCCGCCACUCUCAUUUUGCCGUUAUGAUGAAUAUGACAACAUUAUUCCAUUCAAGGGUACUCAACAUAUAGAAUGUCAGUUAAUGUCCAAUGGUACUAUGUUAUCCCACCUAAAGAACGUGAAGGUGGAACUAUCAUCAGAUAUGGAUCAUAUGAUUGUUACGUUUUUCCUGGACCUCUUCAGGCUGUUCAUUUUUCAUCAUCAGAAUCAGGCAAAUGUUUACUUCAUUCCACAGCAGGUGGUUGAAG